AGAGUUUGAUCCUGGCUCAGAUUGAACGCUGGCGGUAGGCUUAACACAUGCAAGUCGUGCGAGAAAGUAUCUUCGGAUAUGAGUAGAGCGGCGGACGGGUGAGUAACGCGUAGGAAUCUACCUAGUAGAAGGGGAUAGCCCGAGGAAACUCGGAUUAAUACCGUAUACCUCCUUCGGGAGAAAGAAGGCCUCUCUUUGAAGCUUUCGCUACUAGAUGAGCCUGCGUAAGAUUAGCUUGUUGGUGAGGUAAAGGCUCACCAAGGCUACGAUCUUUAGCGGGUCUGAGAGGACGAUCCGCCACAUUGGGACUGAGACACGGCCCAGACUCCUACGGGAGGCAGCAGUGGGGAAUAUUGGACAAUGGGCGCAAGCCUGAUCCAGCCAUACCGCGUGUGUGAAGAAGGCCCUAGGGUUGUAAAGCACUUUAAGUUGGGAAGAAAAGUUAUUGGCUAAUACCUAAUAACCGUGACAUUACCAUCAGAAUAAGGACCGGCUAAUUCCGUGCCAGCAGCCGCGGUAAUACGGAAGGUCCAAGCGUUAAUCGGAAUUACUGGGCUUAAAGAGCUCGUAGGUGGUUAAAAAAGUUGAUGGUGAAAUCCCAAGGCUCAACCUUGGAACUGCCAUCAAAACUUUUUAGCUAGAGUGUGAUAGAGGUAAGUGGAAUUUCUAGUGUAGAGGUGAAAUUCGUAGAUAUUAGAAAGAACACCAAAUGCGAAGGCAACUUACUGGGUCACUACUGACACUGAGGAGCGAAAGCAUGGGUAGCGAAGAGGAUUAGAUACCCUCGUAGUCCAUGCCGUAAACGAUGUGUGCUAGACGUUGGAAAUAUAUUUUUCAGUGUCGCAGCGAAAGCAUUAAGCACACCGCCUGGGGAGUACGACCGCAAGGUUAAAACUCAAAUGAAUUGACGGGGACCCGCACAAGCAGUGGAGCAUGUGGUUUAAUUCGAAGAUACGCGCAGAACCUUACCAACACUUGACAUGUUCGUCGCGAGACUAAGAGAUUAGUCUUUUCAGUUCGGCUGGACGAAACACAGGUGCUGCAUGGCUGUCGUCAGCUCGUGUCGUGAGAUGUUGGGUUAAGUCCCGCAACGAGCGCAACCCCUACUUUUAGUUGCCAGCAUUUAGUUGGGCACUCUAGAGAGACCGCCGGUGAUAAACCGGAGGAAGGUGUGGAUGACGUCAAGUCAUCAUGCCCCUUACAUCCUGGGCUACACACGUACUACAAUGCUACGGACAAAGGGCAGCAAGUUCGCGAGGACAAGCAAAUCCCAUAAACCGUGGCUCAGUUCAGAUCGUAGGCUGCAACUCGCCUACGUGAAGGAGGAAUCGCUAGUAAUCGCAGGUCAGCAUACUGCGGUGAAUACGUUCCCGGGCCUUGUACACACCGCCCGUCACACCAUGGAAGUUGGCCACGCCCGAAGCCGUUACUCCAACCCUUGUGGAGGAGGACGUCGAAGGUGGGGCUGAUGACUGGGGUGAAGUCGUAACAAGGUAACC
rnacentral:rRNA from 1 species